CGCUCAGUCCAAACACGACGGUGGCCACCAUAGUACAAAAAGAUGUCGUUCUCAUGUUAACGCAGGGAAGAGAUCAUGCGGGCAUUAGAAAGUAGGAAGAGCGAUGUCUAAUUUAUUACAUAAAAUAAAAGGUCUGUGGAUAUACUCACAGAUAUCUAUGGAGAUACUUUCCAGCAGAGAGUUGUUGAAGAGAAAGAUCGUCUUAAAAUCACCCCCCAGGAGGUUGCUUUGAUUCGUAUAAGUAUCGCAAUCCGUCGACGUUUUUGCCAUGUAUGCAGAGACAGCAGAUGGCAAGUUAAGCACCAGGUCAAGUAGAACAGGCCUAUGGGUUAAAGCCAAAAACCAGAAGAAGGGCCAAGACGCCCUGUUUAUGGCGGUUGUGAGCAUUGAGUACUUGCUCAGGCAUGACGGUGGACUAUUUGUGUGCACUGUGCAGGGGACUGAUUUGCUGAAUAAGAGCACAAAGCUCAAGGUUUUGAAGGAUAUAAUCAGCAGGUCAGUGUUGUUGACUCGUCAGUGGUGCCCACAUCAUCUGUUGAUCUAGAUGAUUGAGUGAGGAAAUGCAUGCAGAACAUUUGCUGAGACGUCUGCCAACAUCAGCUCUUCAUGAUCUCACUGAGGAAUUGGCACACCACAUUGGAGUGUCAGGUUUAUGUUCUGAGUUUAUACAGAACAUACAGUUCCAUGUUUUUAUGAGUUCGUUAUUUUCUAAUUACUCCCCAUUAUUUUCAUGGUUAAUUAUUUAUAAUGUACACUUCUUUCAUUUAGUUCAUUGUCUUCCCUUUGUUUAUAUAGCUCUGUGUUUUCUGUCUUAGUUUGUUGGUUAUCGUCUUACUCUUUAUGCUGUUGCAUUUGCAUUGGAAUACGCAUUCAUUAUCUUUGUUUUGUGCUAAUUAAACAGA